rnacentral:rRNA from 1 species
CCCUUAGAUGUCCUGGGCCGCACGCGCGCUACACUGACAUGUUCAACAAGCCUCCUAGUUCGACAGGAUUUGGGAAAUCUUUGAACGCAUGUCGUGAUAGGGAUAGAUCAUUGCAAUUAUUGAUCUUGAGCGAGGAAUUCCUAGUAAACGCGAGUCAUCAGCUCGCAUUGAUUACGUCCCUGCCCUUUGUACACACCGCCCGUCGCACCUACCGAUUGAAUGUUUCGGUGAAGAUUCCGGAUAGGACUUUUUUGAUUUAUUUCAAUUCUGUCUUAAAAGCUAUCUAAACCUCAACAUUUAGAGGAAGGUGAAGUCGUAACA